UAUUCAUACACAUAGCUCAUAUAUUAUACAGCGCUAAGCUAAUCCGCCUGACUCAAGUCAUUUUACGUACCCCUGCUAAAACAGGAACCAGCUCACACACCCAGCAAUAAAACUGCCCCCCCCUCAGCUCUGUUGUCUCACGACCCCAGGAAACACAGACAUUCCAUCGCAAGAACACAUACACCCAGCCAUAAAACUGCCCCUCUCAGUUUUCUACCUCACGUUCCCCUGACACACAAAUAUCUUCUUGCUUAAACACACACAUCUCACCCCCCCUCUACUGGUCGGGUGCUCAGAGCAGAAGACUCUGAUGUGCACCAAUGGGGCUCCUGCUCUGGCUAGAACAGGUCCGCCUCCAACCCUUCGGGACCAUUCAGAAGACCAACACGACAAGACUCCACCUACAUAUUCCAUGUAUAAAAUCUGCUGUAACCAAUGUCCCUUUUUCACCUGACUCCUUACUGAGUUAUAUGAACUAGGUCCGUGCACGUUAAAUCUGCAGGACAAGAUAUCUUUUGACUCAAUAAACUGCCUUUUGUUACAAUUGAAAUCCACUCUGUCCAGCGUCCGUGAUUUGGUCUCAACUCUCCAGUAUUUAAACACUAACAAACUUGGUAGCAUGAGGAUGGUUAUUCCUGAAUUCGAUCUAUGAUAAGUUGGUGUGAGAGGACGAAACAAAUCAACGGCUCAAAAUCAGACGGAAGAGUGACCUGUCCACAGGAAAAAAUCAGCCAUUCAUCUUGCCUCAGGAAACCUGAUCAGAGUGCUCUACUUAAAAGGUAAGCAGAGCCUGUUAAAUCGAAAUCUGCAUAUUGUAUCUUAGCCUAAACCAAAUUUUGAUCAGAAAGUACUGAGCGUGAGUAUGAAUCGUUGCCAAAUUAUUUUUACAUAAGAACCUAAGGCAUUGAUCAAGGAGAUCUUGUUUUGCUAAAAGAAGGGAAAAUAAAAAUAAUUUUUUUAUUUUUAUUUAUUUUUUAUUAAUUGGCCUAUACUGAGUUAUUUUAAUAGGAAUGUGUGAAUUGUGAUUGACCAAUGUGUUAGAUUCCUUCUGGGACCCUAUUUGUUCUGAAAUCUGCUUAGAAAACUGUCCUAAUUAUAUAAAUAUUGGGUUGUGUAUAGAGGUGACGUUAAAUAGUGGCUGUGUUCUAACACGUAAAGGACACAAUUAUGGAUGUUGGAAAUUCAAUGUGACUUUCGUACAAAUGAAUGUAGUAUUGAGAAAACGUAUGAACUAGAGUUGACAUUCCACGAUUUUGAGACCGGGGAAAUUAAAUUGAGAGAAACGUUUGUUGAGUAACCGCCAUGCUAGGUUACGUAACUGGGCUAUUAUGUACGCGUACUGCUAGCCUAGCAACCUCGUAGUCGAAUCACCGUGCAGCUUUGAUUGACAGCCGCCGGGCUCAAACACUGAUUUUCACUUUUUCAUUCCUGUUGGUAUUGCCUAAAGUUUAAAAUUGUUCUGACAAUUGUUAUAGAAUCGCCUGAAUUUUCUGAUAUAUUGUCCCAGAAGGUGAUUGCUGGAUUAUUUUCAGAAAGUAUUUAAAUAAUUUGUUGAACAAUUUUUUAGUUUUCUAUUUUUAUUUGAUAUUUCCUAAAGCACUAGAAUUAUUCUGGCAAUUGUUAUAGAACCGCUUCAUUUUGCUAACAUAUUGUUCCAAGAGGUGAUGGCUGAAUUAUUUUCAGAAAGUAUUUAAAUAAUUCGUUGAACAACUUUUAGUUUUCCAAAUUUCUAUCUACAUUUCCUACAGAGCUAGAAUUACUCUGACAAUUGUUAUAGAACCUCAUAAAUUCACUAAUAUAUUGUUCCAAAAGGAAAUCGCUGAAUCAUUUCUAGAAAAUACCGAAAUAAAUCGCUGAACAAAUUCAAAUUACAUGCCGGAGAGGCACACACGUAACUGCCACCACAUUACUGAUAAAAUCUUUCUGUGCGAGGGUGGGGACGCAUGAGAUAAGUCUGAGCCAGCACCACAAUACAUCCCUGGAAAUGUAAAUGUAAAUGUCUCGAUCAAGGACGGGCUAAGUAUACAAAGAUAAAAAAUAAACACAUAUACACAGGACAUAGGACACAUUACAGACAGGAACUAAAUGAGACCUUUUUUCAGAUAAUCACUGCCUUAGUUAUAUCCUGCCUAACCGCGUUAAUAAUUACCUUAGCAGUUCACGUAAUUAUUUUGUGAUAAAAUGGCUGCAGCCACCACGCCCAAACUUAAAUUCAAUGACUUUUUAGAUCAGCGCAUGACUGAUAGAGCGGGAGGGAAAGGACAGUAAUAGAAAGACACCCACAUCGAAGGCAUAGUGAAGGGAAAGGUGACGGACGUGACCGACACCCAGAGGGUCACCACCACCCGGACGUCUGUCCGACAGGCUGGACUGAGAGCUAAAGGAGUGACCGCUAGAGAACACUGGGACUCUGAACGGGGUGGAGCCAGCAUGUAUCCCCUACGCCCAGCAGCUGGUCCACACUACUUAGAGUACCAACCUUGGAAAAUGACUGACCUGACCACCGGUCCACCCAGAGGGGUGUGCUACAACUGUGGAACUCCUGGCCAUUAUUCACGGUAUUGUCAACAGCCACUCUCCACUCAGCAACAGCAAUGGAGAGAAAGAGGACAUGGAGGAGCACCAGGAAGAGGGAGAGGAAGAGGAGGACCCCUCAUCUACACUACAACAAUGAUCGUCUGUUCUUACAGUCAGAGAGCAAGUCUAUUUCUUCUUACGCAAAAUUCUAGUGGAAAUGUUUAGUGUCGGCUACAAUCGGUGCCCAAAAGUCAAGGCGGGCCUUUUGUUUAAUUUCACAUGCAACAGCAGCAGGGAGGAUACAACCAACCACAGUUCCAGGGAAUAGCUGGGGACACCAUGCCCUGGCCAUGAAGAUGCCCACCACCUGCGGCAGGAGGGGGAGCCGACAUUUUCAACUACACACUGAACCAACUAUGAUGUGUGAAGUUGAGGGUGUUCCCCCAUCAGUUCCUGGUAGACACAGGAUGCACCUAUUCUGCUAUCAAGUUCCCUUAAAUGCUGUCAUCUGAUUCCAUAUCGGUGGUAGGGGUCACGGGAUCACCUGAGGCUCAAAGCCGCACUAUCCCUUUAACAUUCUCCUGGGAGAAAUCUCAGUUGAAACACCAGUUCCUGUACUGUCCAAAAUGCCCGAUAAACCUACUAGGACCUCUCAUGCAAAAUGUGGUGCACCAUAUAUCUUACUGACAGUGGAAUGGCAGUAUCCACCAACCCUCCCUCUUCAACAUCUGAUCACCCAGUAAGAAUUAUGAUGAUGCCACUCCUGCCGACGCCCACGCUGUCUGAAACCCAAGAAGUGUACUGGCUAAAAUGCCUACCCACAGGGCCUGUCACCCCUCACAUCCAGUUUAAGUUCAACCAACUGAAAGCUCAAAUCUACACUCUGCACCCAUAUAAGACUCCCCAAGCUGAGACACUGAUGACUGCCCCUACACUGAAGACUGGGACGAAGACAUGAUGCACCUGACCCCGCCUAUCAGGUGUUGUACCAUUGUGUGUGGCCCUGAGGGGGUGGCAGCACCGGUCAUCCUACGACCAAGGAACCUCCAUGCACCCCUGGCCUGGACGGCUGAAGCAUCAACAGCCAUUGCACUCCUGAAAACAGAUCUAUCAGCGGCAGCAGCUCUGACUGCACCUGACUACAAGAACAAGUUCCAUUUGGAUGUUUCUGAAAAGGAAGGAUUCACCUCAUCCGUCCUAUUCCAGAAACAAGAGGGGGAGAGAAGGGUCUUGAUGUACCACUCUUCCAAACUUGACCACAUUGAGGUAGGACAGACAACAUGUUCCAGAUAUGUUGCUGCAGUAGCAAAAGCUAUUGAAAAAACAGCUCACCUCAUGAUGUGUCAUCCAUUGGAGAUCCACACCCACCAUGGCGUUGCUGCAUAUCUAAUGAGUAAAGAAUUCACGUUCAGUGCUGAAAGAAAAACCAAGAUCCAGAACAAAUGCACUCAGUCACAUAUCACGUUUGUGAACACCGACAAAAAACAUGGCAGAUGCACUCAACGCAGAAGAAGGACUGCCCCACUCUUGUGCUGAAAGAGUGGCACAAGACCUAAAACUGAGACCAGACCUGAAGAAUGAACCACUGACUAAUCCCGACCACUGGCUGUACACUGAUGGCUGCUGCUACAAAGGAGAAGAAGGAAACAUAGCAGCCUACGCGGUGGUACAGCAACUCCCAGACGGCUCACACGUCACACUUGAAUCAGCCAUCAUCCCUCAACCAGCACCUGCCCAAUUAGCUGAAACCAUCGGAUUGACACAGGCCCUCAUCAGAGCAAAAGGAAAGACUGUGAAUAUCUAUACAGACUCAGCCUAUGCCCAUGGAGCAGUCCACACUGAUGGACCCAUAACUUUUACGAGGAGCACAUGGCCCCACACACGAAGGCAAACUAAAGACCCUUCAAAAGGUCUCACACAUCUGGUGGCACCCUCACAUGAAAGAAAUGACUGACUUAUUUUGUGACGAAUGCAACAUAUGUGGCAGCCACAACCCAAAGAAACCAUAUCAAACACCAAUGGGCUCAUACCCAGUACCUAAUGCAUGUUUUCAGGACAUUAGUAUAGAAUACACCAACAUGGGCGCCGAUAAUGUAACCAAAGGGAAACGCUAUCUCCUAGUUAUGGUAGAUAGGUUCUCCAAAUGGGUAGAAGCAAUACCAACAGCAAAGGGGGACGCUAGGUCAGUCGUUAAGUGGCUACAAACCGAACUAGGUAUGGCAUCCCAAGACAAAUCAGAUUUGACAAAUGGCUCACAAUUCAGUAACACCCACCUAAGACAGGUGGAAGAAAGAUUUGGCAUAACACACAGAUUCGGUUCUGUGUACCACCCCCCGGUCCCAAGGUCUGGUGGAAUGUGCAAAAGCUAAGAUAGCUAAAGUAUGUGCAGGUACGAAGUUGACAUGGGUUGAAGUCCUGCCUCUGGUGUUGAUGGCCAUGAGAGCCUCACCAGGAGCAGGCACCCAUUUCUCUCCUCAUGAGAUAAUGACUGGAAGAGUCAUGCCUGGUCCACCAAGGGAGGGAGGUCAUAUGCCCGCUCUUGAUGUACAACAAAUCGUAAUGUCUGAUUAUGUGAAAAAACUGACGGUUCUCUCUGCAGCACUCUCUACCCAGGUUCACAAGGUCCAGGAGGGGGAGCUUCCGGGGGACACGCCACCACUGAAGGUAAAGGUUGGUGACUGGGUGAGGGUUAAAGUCCACAAGAGAAAGUGGCUGGAACCCAGGUGGACUGGACCGUACGAAGUGAAGGAAGUUACUUCACACUCAGUCCAGGUCAAAGGUAAAUCAGGCGCACCUUGACACCACCUUACACAUUGCACUCCAGCCCCAAUUCCUUCUAGAACACUGACUGAAGUCAGAGCUGAUUUGAACAGCCUAAAUUUGAUUCCAAAUGAAGAAAUUCCUGACUCAGGUGAUGCGGCAUCAAAUUCCGCCUCCCCUGAAAAAGGAACCGCGCCCAGUUAGAGGGAUAUUUCUCUCUCCCUGGGCAAGGCUAGGAAUAUCUGAACCACUGUUUGUGAUAUUCCUACUGAUAUUUGGAGUAACCCUAGGCACUCUCACAUGGUUAAUAGAACAACAAACACAUACUAAAGCAUCAACCCCUCUCAUCCCAACCCCUAUCCCUGAUACCAUUCCUAGCACCACUCCUUUCAAUCUCACACACACCAAACGUAGCACUACACUUACAGACCCACCAUGCACACCAGACAAGGUUAGAAGCACCACCUUAUGUAUACCCACGAAUGCAACCACCACCAUUGCACUAUAGUUUUCACGUCUUAAAAGACGUGAAGAGGGGGAUUUGUUAUUGUUAGAGGAAAUUAUGGUUGAAAUGACUAAUUAUGUAUACAUUCCAAUCAGAACUGACUAGUCCAAAUGCUAUAAUGUACUGUACAUAUGAAUUUUCUCUCUUGCUCCCAUUCCCAAUUGUAUAUAAUGUAGUCAGGAGUUUGGUAACAAUGAAGGUCUUAGUUCAUUCAUUUGUACAAUCUCCAGGUGGCAGGAACAGACUCUCCAGACUCCAGACUGUCUAGAAUGCUGAUUUAUACUGACUGACCUUGACUUCAGGCGUGGAGCGAAAGUUUAUACAGUUUAUAACCUGUAGAAAAAUGUGUAUUUUUAAUUGUACCUUUAUUUUACUAGGAAAGUCAGUUAAGAACAAAUUCUUAUUUUCAAUGACGGCCUAGGAACAGUGGGUUAACUGCCUGUUCAGGGGCAGAACGACAGAUUUGUACCUUGUCAGCUCGGGGAUUCGAACUUGCAACCUUCCGGUUACUAGUCCAAUGCUCUAACCACUAGGCUAUCCUGCCGCCCCCAAUGUGUGCUAGUACUCUCUUGAAUUAAACGCUGUUACUACUACUACUACUACUAUACUCUACUUCAUGUAUACUCUACUUAAUGAACUUACAAAUCACUAAUGAAAUAGAAAGAGUGCUAAUUUGGUUUUGGCUACAAAACAUAUAGGAAUUUAAAAUUCCACUAACAGUUAUAUAAAUAUUCAUACACAUAGCUCAUAUAUUAUACAGCGCUAAGCUAAUCCGCCUGACUCAAGUCAUUUUACGUACCCCUGCUAAAACAGGAAGCAGCUCACACACCCAGCAAUAAAACUGCCCCCCCUCAGCUCUGUUGUCUCACGACCCCAGGAAACACAGACAUUCCAUCGCAAGAACACAUACACCCAGCCAUAAAACUGCCCCUCUCAGUUUUCUACCUCACGUUCCCCUGACACACAAAUAUCUUCUUGCUUAAACACACACAUCUCACCCCCUCUACUGGUCGGGUGCUCAGAGCAGAAGACUCUGAUGUGCACCAAUGGGGCUCCUGCUCUGGCUAGAACAGGUCCGCCUCCAACCCUUCGGGACCAUUCAGAAGACCAACACGACAAGACUCCACCUACAUAUUCCAUGUAUAAAAUCUGCUGUAACCAAUGUCUAAGUCCCUUUUUCACCUGACUCCUUACUGAGUUAUAUGAACUAGGUCCGUGCACGUUAAAUCUGCAGGACAAGAUAUCUUUUGACUCAAUAAACUGCCUUUUGUUACAACUGAAAUCCACUCUGUCCAGCGUCCGUGAUUUGCACUCAACUCUCCAGUAUGUGAACACUAACAGUAAUUAACGUUUUAAUCUUCAUGCUGAUACAUGGACGAGAUUGGCUCACAAUGCACACGCAGAAGGAAUGGAACAGUGUAAUCACUCAUGCACUCUCGUCCAGUACCUGCUCUUAGUGAUCUAAUAUCACAGUCUCAGCCUACCAGUUUAUGAAUCUGGAGACACUGGAGGUGUUUGGGGUGGAGAGGACAGUGGACUCAGUGGAGGACAUCCCAGCCACUUGGCAGUAAGGGCAUGCCGGGCGUGAGCCAACAGCCCAGCUCUGACCAACGGCGAAGUCAGCUCAAGUUAUUUGAUUGCUUUUGAUUAAAAAAAAAACAUUUAUCUGCCUUCCCAAUGAAAAAUAGUUUGAAAUGUCGAACAUAUAUUUACAGAAAAUAGAUUUAUGUUUCUGAAUGAUGCACCAUGCUGCUUUGUUGACAACAUGACUGAGCUGCACAAGAUUACUGUUCCAUCUGAGAAGGGCCCUCCCUCGCCGCGUUUUACCUUUCACGUCACUGACCAUAGCUGGGUGCACCGCAGCUCAGGUUAAUAGAACUCCCUCAGUGUUGGCACUGCUACUUCCUACCUGAUGGGGUGUUACAGGAGGAAUUGAAGGGGGAGCAUGCCUUGUACCUGCGGCAGCACCCGGAUUUCCGAGCCAUGAUGGCCGACUUCUUGCAGUUCCUGUUACUACGAAAACCAAGCGACGUCAUCAUGUUCGCCUGUGAAGACUUCUCCCCUGGGGGGCCUCUUCAACACCUCUUCACCUUGAGGACAUACUGUGGCUUCCUCUCAAAGGCCCUUUAGUGAGGACAAUACUAUUCUGGUUAGCAGUUGUCACUAGUAUGUACAGUGGCCCUCGAGAUCCUAGAGUAUUGUUUUUACAUUUUGUAAUACUGUUUUUACUGUCUACUGUUUUUGUUUGCAUGAGCUGUAUUGAAACAUUCCAAUCAACUCAUGCUCAUCUGACUCAAAAAGUAAACUAUUGUAUAACUUUGCUGCCCAGAUUGCCUAGGAAUGUAACAGCCUUUGAAUAAUACAAUUAUAUGUGUAUUAAUAGUCCAGACAAUCUUGCAAGGCAGACUAAAGGUCUGCUUAAUAGCUGAAACAGUUCAGCAGAGUUUGUAAAUAUAUUAUAACUGCAUUUUGUGAUGUUUUGAACUUUAGUGAGUGUGUUUUUCAGCUGUUUGGAUACAACAACAAAAAAUCCUAGAAGCAAGCCAAAGUUCAAAGCCGAAGUCCAUGUCCCUUCGUCGGUGAUUGGGUAACAGUAGGGGUUCUUCAAUCAAAAUCAAAUCAAAUUUGAUUUAUAUAGCCCUUCGUACAUCAGCUGAUAUCUCAAAGUGCUGUACAGAAACCCAGCCCAAAACCCCAAACAGCAAGCAAUGCAGGUGUAGAAGCACGGUGGCUAGGAAAAACUCCCUAGAAAGGCCAAAACCUAGAGAGGAACCAGGCUAUGUGGGGUGGCCAGUCCUCUUCUGGCUGUGCCGGGUGGAGAUUAUAACAGAACAUGGCCAAGAUGUUCAAAUGUUCAUAAAUGAUCAGCAUGGUCAAAUAAUAACAAGGCAGUACAAUUUAAACUGGAGCAUCAGUUUCAAUAAAUUCUUUGUUGUCAUUCAAUGAGA